GACAAUGACGGUUUAGCGGUAGAAUUCUUGCCUUCCAUGCAGGAGACCCAGGUUCGAUUCCUGGCAUACACA
rnacentral:tRNA from 1 species